GCAAUAUCAGUUUAAAACAUCGGUUCUCGUACGAUCAUGUUAGUUAAGCAACGUUGAGCCUGGUCAGUACCUACGUGGGUUCCCGCUUGGAAAUACCAGGUGCUGUAGG